rnacentral:rRNA from 1 species
GUGGGGAAUCUUAGACAAUGGGCGAAAGCCUGACGCAGCCAUGCCGCGUGAAUGAUGAAGGUCUUAGGAUUGUAAAAUUCUUUCACCGGGGACGAUAAUGACGGUACCCGGAGAAGAAGCCCCGGCUAACUUCGUGCCAGCAGCCGCGGUAAUACGAAGGGGGCUAGCGUUGCUCGGAUUUACUGGGCGUAAAGGGCGCGUAGGCGGACAUUUAAGUCAGGGGUGAAAUCCCGGGGCUCAACCUCGGAACUGCCUUUGAUACUGGGUGUCUUGAGUAUGAGAGAGGUGUGUGGAACUCCGAGUGUAGAGGUGAAAUUCGUAGAUAUUCGGAAGAACACCAGUGGCGAAGGCGACACACUGGCUCAUUACUGACGCUGAGGCGCGAAAGCGUGGGGAGCAAACAGGAUUAGAAACCCCGGUAGUCC